rnacentral:rRNA from 1 species
GAUGAACGCUGGCGGCGUGCCUAAUACAUGCAAGUCGAGCGAACAGACGAGGAGCUUGCUCCUCUGACGUUAGCGGCGGACGGGUGAGUAACACGUGGAUAACCUACCUAUAAGACUGGGAUAACUUCGGGAAACCGGAGCUAAUACCGGAUAAUAUAUUGAACCGCAUGGUUCACUAGUGAAAGACGGUUUUGCUGUCACUUAUAGAUGGAUCCGCGCCGCAUUAGCUAGUUGGUAAGGUAACGGCUUACCAAGGCAACGAUGCGUAGCCGACCUGAGAGGGUGAUCGGCCACACUGGAACUGAGACACGGUCCAGACUCCUACGGGAGGCAGCAGUAGGGAAUCUUCCGCAAUGGGCGAAAGCCUGACGGAGCAACGCCGCGCGAGUGAUGAAGGUCUUCGGAUCGUAAAACUCUGUUAUUAGGGAAGAACAAAUGUGUAAGUAACUAUGCACGUCUUGACGGUACCUAAUCAGAAAGCCACGGCUAACUACGUG